AACGUAGGACGCAAGCGUUAUCCGGAGUUACUGGGCGUAAAGCGCGGGCAGGCGGUUCUGCCAGUCUGAUGUGAAAUCUCCUCGCUCAACGGGGAGCAGCCAUUGGAAACUACAGAACUGGAGUCUGACAGAGGUAGGCGGAAUUCCGGGUGGAGUGGUGAAAUGCGUAGAGAUCCGGAGGAACACCAGAGGCGAAGGCGGCCUACUGGGUCAGUACUGACGCUGAGCCGCGAAAGCCAGGGGAGCAAACAGG
rnacentral:rRNA from 1 species